rnacentral:rRNA from 1 species
GACAGAGGGUGCAAGCGUUGUUCGGAAUCAUUGGGCGUAAAGGGCGCGUAGGCGGUUUUGUAAGUCGGAUGUGAAAGCCCAGGGCUCAACCUUGGAAGUGCAUCCGAAACUGCAUAACUGGAGUCUCGGAGAGGGUGGUGGAAUUCCCAGUGUAGAGGUGAAAUUCGUAGAUAUUGGGAGGAACACCGGUGGCGAAGGCGACCACCUGGACGAAGACUGACGCUGAGGCGCGAGAGCGUGGGGAGCAAACAGG